UACGUAGGUGGCAAGCGUUGUUCGGAAUUAUUGGGCGUAAAGGGCGCGUAGGCGGUUUGUUAAGUCAGCUGUGAAAGCCCGGGGCUCAACCCCGGAGGGUCAGCUGAUACUGGCAGGCUAGAGUACAGAAGAGGUAACUGGAAUUCCCGGUGUAGCGGUGAAAUGCGUAGAUAUCAUCUGGAACGCCAAUGGUGAAAACAGCUCGCUGGGGGUUUGCAGACGCUGAGACACGAAAGCCAGGGGAGCGAACGGG
rnacentral:rRNA from 1 species